GGUUGGCUCCACGUCUGGGUUCAAUGUAGCAAUUCUCCGGCCAUGGCGUCUCUCUGAGCCCGGCGAGGGAGGCGGCGUUUUGUUGGCUUUUAAUACAACAGAGACCAGCUCCAGGGGGGAGGGUGGAAACACAGCGCAGAGACAUCAGCCUCGGUGGUCUGAACAAACCCUCCCUACCUUCCGCUGCUGAACGAGAGCUCCGGGGCGAGGGCAGGUCUGCAGGCACACGCACUGGCCUCGGAAUAAUGUUGUGAAGUGACAGGAAAUCGUCAAGAUAAAGGAGGAAGAGUAAGCAGGAAGCACUGUUUUCUGUAAGUGCCACAGCGAGGGUAUUCCAACUGGGAAGAAGUAGUUGCUGGUUUCACAACACCUGUGGUUCCUCUGGGGCUCUGGCUCUGAGGGUUUAGGACAGUUUGCAAGAAGACCAAUUCACAGGCUGAAAUAACCUCUGUGCUGCAUGACAGGAGUGUGCUGAUUGGUAGGUUUCUGCGGCGUAUCCUUGGGGGAGAAUGUCUGAUUCUCUCGGCUGGCGAGGAACCUGAGCGGUCAUCUUUCUGGGCACGGCAGCGUCUUUUGGUUUUGCCAAGGAUGUCAGAUGCCCCCUCGGGUGCGUGAUCCCGAAGCAAGUGCCAGUCGAAACCUGAAAG